AACCUGCUCCUCUGACUGUACAUUUAGUUUCGCGAUUCUUCAAGCAUAAAUUUCCGCAGCAACUGUGUUGUUUGUUUCAAGCUCAGAUUCUUCUUUCAACUCAAACUCCUCUUGACUAGGUCUGCUCUUCAAUUCCAUGGCCCAUCUAGAUGCCCCGAUUGAUCAGGUUGCAAACAAUCAUUCAACCUCUGCAUUUGUUCCGCAAUUUUGCGAGGACAAACCUAUCGGCUGGAUCGGGUAAUGUGUGAGGGAAUCAGUCACCUAGUAUCAUGUGUUCAGUCGGUCCGUCUUUGAGUUUUUUUCAGUGUUCUUUCUGUUUUGUUUUAUUAGCAUUAAGCCCAAUGGACAAGUUCAAAGAGUUAUAAAUAAGCACUUCUUAUUACCUGUUCAAAACUGAAUGAUUAAAUUCCCAGGUACUCAUGGUAUCCGUUGAUGUUGCGGAGAGCAUGCAAUAAGUUCUGCAGACCCGGAACUAUUGAAUAAAAUAAGUGGGGUAAAAUAGCUUGCUUGGAUCUUGAAGAUGCCUAAAGCGCAAAUGUGAAUCUCGUGCUUCUCCGACAAUCAUCUGCAAUGUGGGCGUUACUCUAGCUUCCUCUUCACAUAAAAAGAAAUAAGCACUAUGCUGAGUAGGUCGAAGACAAUUCUGAUUCUCUUCAAGUUGGAAUUGAACAUCAAAUGAAUAUGGUGCGGAAUCAUUGUUAAUUUAUAAAACUUUCAACACUAGCUGGAAAACUCUUCGCUAAAUUCCAAAAGUCGUCUGUGCUUUUCAGGACAGAAGCCUGUUGCCUUAACUUCCUUCACUAAACCAAUCGUGAACUACCCUCGGUUAGAAAUCCCAAAAACUGCAGAGGGAUACAUCUACACAAACGCGCAUAGUUUAUGAUUUACUCAAGCGUGAGCAUGAAGUGACUAAGGCUUUUAUCUCUUCAGGAUUGGAAUGAAAUAAUUCAUAUGGUUACCUGUCCCUUCAGGUACUUGACCUGAAAGGCAUAGUUAUUUGUCUAAGACGCAGCAGAGGCAAAACAUUUCUUCCUGCCUGUUACGCCAUCACGUGACAAUCGACUUGCUCAUCGGUAACACCCAAAUCAUUUCCCAGUAAUUUCAUGUGAGUUACUCCUGUCAAAUGAGAAAAUGGUGUUACUCAGUGGUAGACUUUGGUGAAGAUUCUACACCUUUUUCAUUAGGUGCAGUGGUACGCAACAAUGUUUUUAAAUCAGUCCGGCUGUAGAACAGGAAACAUUCGCUUCCUGUCAGUCGUUACAUGCUUUUAGGCAAUCAUUACAUGGCGCAAGUGUAUUUCCUUACGACAAUUUUAGAUAGGACACUGGACUGAAAGAAAUUAAAAUGUAUUUAUCAUCUAAAAAUUGUGCUUUACAGAGGCGUUUUCCGGUCAUUGCAAAGAAUUUUCUAUCGUACGGUUGAACCACAUGUUGAUCAUGCGUAGUACCUCUUAAACUUCUUUAAAACGAGUAACUAACCUAUGCAGUUGAAGAACAGAAUGUGCGUACAAAACAACCAAAUAGUAUACUACCAAUGUACUUGUACGCUGCAUAACACGUUCACCUGCAUGAAGAGUGAAAUCUACGCAGCGAAAUCGAUCCAACAAAUAAAUCUACCAUUUUACUUCCUUUGAAUGAACUGUAGACACCUGAUAAUAUCUGCUCCUAACAAACCAAUUAACAAUAUUUAUGCUGCCCAAUUAAGCCCAAUGUCCA
rnacentral:lncRNA from 1 species